GGGCUGCUGGCGCAACGGUAGCGCGUUCGACUCCAGCUACUGUUAGCAAUCGAAAGGUUAUCCGUUCAAAUCGGGUGCGGCUCA